rnacentral:rRNA from 1 species
AACCAGACUCCUACGGGAGGCAGCAGUGGGGGAUAUUGCACAAUGGGGGGAACCCUGAUGCAGCGACGCCGCGUGGGUGAAGGAGCGUUUCGGCGCGUAAAGCCCUAUCGGCAGGGAAGAAGGAGGACGGUACCUGACUAAGAAGCCCCGGCUAACUACGUGCCAGCAGCCGCGGGAAUACGUAGGGGGCAAGCGUUAUCCGGAUUUACUGGGUGUAAAGGGGGCGCAGACGGCAGCGCAAGCCAGGAGUGAAAGCCCGGGGCCCAACCCCGGGACUGCCCUUGGAACUGCAUGGCUGGAGUGCGGGAGGGGCAGGCGGAAUUCCUAGUGUAGCGGUGAAAUGCGUAGAUAUUAGGAGGAACACCAGUGGCGAAGGCGGCUUUCUGGACUGAAACUGACGCUGAGGCACGAAAGCGUGGGGAGCGAACAGGAUUAGAUACCCCUGUA